ensembl:processed_transcript
AGCUUCAGAGCUGAUGGAGAGACAGAGAGCACGCAACUGGAAAAAAUCAGACAUGGAAUUCAUGGAUUAACUGGUCACCAAUUGUUUCAGCAUUGCGUAUUGAAUAAUACAACCUUCUUCCACUGCCGUGAAAUGUCAACAGCUGCUCUCCCACUAGAUAGGGCGUAGCUUUCCACAGACGUGGAAACAUCGCUGUGGUCCAUCUCUAUUUACUGCAAGCAGAAGGGUCAAGACAGAAAACAUAGAGGCUUUUAGUAGGAGAAAGAAAGGCUCCAGAUUUAUGUUUCCUGGUAUUGCUGCUAUUGGUAUUACUGUCAUUAUUACUAUUAUCACCAUCAUCAUCAUCAUUACUAUUAUUAUUAUUAUUAUUAUUUUACAAUUGAACUACAUUGGUGAAUAUUUAAUGUCCAUCUACUGAAAUAGCUACAGUGCAAGACGGAGAGAGGCCUUCAUGCAUGGUGUGCAUUUGCCACCUAGUGACCACACUGA